rnacentral:rRNA from 1 species
AGUGAACGCUGGCGGUAGGCCUAACACAUGCAAGUCGAACGGCAGCACAGUAAGAGCUUGCUCUUACGGGUGGCGAGUGGCGGACGGGUGAGGAAUACAUCGGAAUCUACUUUUUCGUGGGGGAUAACGUAGGGAAACUUACGCUAAUACCGCAUACGACCUACGGGUGAAAGCAGGGGAUCUUCGGACCUUGCGCGAUUGAAUGAGCCGAUGUCGGAUUAGCUAGUUGGCGGGGUAAAGGCCCACCAAGGCGACGAUCCGUAGCUGGUCUGAGAGGAUGAUCAGCCACACUGGAACUGAGACACGGUCCAGACUCCUACGGGAGGCAGCAGUGGGGAAUAUUGGACAAAGGGCGCAAGCCUGAUCCAGCCAUACCGCGUGGGCGAAGAAGGCCUUCGGGUUGAAAAGCCCUUUUGUUGGGAAAGAAAAGCAGCAGGUUAAUACCCCGCUGUUCUGACGGUACCCAAAGAAUAAGCACCGGCUAACUUCGUG